GCCCGGGUGGCGGAAUUGGCAGACGCACCGGAUUCAGGAUCCGGCGGCCCACGGGCCACUGCAGGUUCGACUCCUGUCCCGGGUA
rnacentral:tRNA from 1 species